rnacentral:rRNA from 2 species
UAACCUGCGGGAGGAUCAUUG